rnacentral:rRNA from 1 species
GCUAUCACUUACAGAUGGGCCCGCGGCGCAUUAGCUAGUUGGUGAGGUAACGGCUCACCAAGGCGACGAUGCGUAGCCGACCUGAGAGGGUGAUCGGCCACACUGGGACUGAGACACGGCCCAGACUCCUACGGGAGGCAGCAGUAGGGAAUCUUCCGCAAUGGACGAAAGUCUGACGGAGCAACGCCGCGUGAGCGAUGAAGGCCUUCGGGUCGUAAAGCUCUGUUGUUAGGGAAGAAUAAGUGCUAGUUGAAUAAGCUGGCACCUUGACGGUACCUAACCAGAAAGCCACGGCUAACUACGUGCCAGCAGCCGCGGUAAUACGUAGGUGGCAAGCGUUGUCCGGAAUUAUUGGGCGUAAAGCGCGCGCAGGCGGUUUCUUAAGUCUGAUGUGAAAGCCCCCGGCUCAACCGGGGAGGGUCAUUGGAAACUGGGAAACUUGAGUGCAGAAGAGGAAAGUGGAAUUCCAAGUGUAGCGGUGAAAUGCGUAGAGAUUUGGAGGAACACCAGUGGCGAAGGCGACUUUCUGGUCUGUAACUGACGCUGAGGCGCGAAAGCGUGGGGAGCAAACAGGAUUAGAUACCCUGGUAGUCCACGCUGUAAACGAUGAGUGCUAAGUGUUAGAGGGUUUCCGCCCUUUAGUGCUGAAGUUAACGCAUUAAGCACUCCGCCUGGGGAGUACGGUCGCAAGACUGAAACUCAAAGGAAUUGACGGGGGCCCGCACAAGUGGUGGAGCAUGUGGUUUAAUUCGAAGCAACGCGAAGAACCUUACCAGGUCUUGACAUCCUCUGACAACCCUAGAGAUAGGGCUUUCCCUUCGGGGACAGAGUGACAGGUGGUGCAUGGUUGUCGUCAGCUCGUGUCGUGAGAUGUUGGGUUAAGUCCCGCAACGAGCGCAACCCUUGAUCUUAGUUGCCAGCAUUUAGUUGGGCACUCUAAGGUGACUGCCGGUGACAAACCGGAGGAAGGUGGGGAUGACGUCAAAUCAUCAUGCCCCUUAUGACCUGGGCUACACACGUGCUACAAUGGAUAGUACAAAGGGUUGCAAGACCGCGAGGUGGAGCUAAUCCCAUAAAACUAUUCUCAGUUCGGAUUGUAGGCUGCAACUCGCCUACAUGAAGCCGGAAUCACUAGUAAUCGCGGAUCAGCAUGCGCGGGUGGAAUUCCGUUCCCCGGGCCCUUGUACAC